rnacentral:rRNA from 1 species
GAUGAACGCUAGCGGCAGGCUUAAUACAUGCAAGUCGAGGGGCAGCAUGAUUGUAGCAAUACAAUUGAUGGCGACCGGCAAACGGGUGCGGAACACGUACACAUCCUCCCAAUAAGUGGGGAAUAGCCCAGAGAAAUUUGGAUUAAUACCCCGUAACAUAACGAUGUGGCAUCACAUUGUUAUUAUAGAUUUUUCGCUUAUUGAUGGGUGUGCAGCUGAUUAGUUAGUUGGCGGGGUAACGGCCCACCAAGUCUACGAUCAGUAGCUGAUGUGAGAGCAUGAUCAGCAACACGGGCACUAGGACACGGCCCCGACUGCUGCGGGAGGCAGCAGUAAGGAAUGUUGGGCAAUGGACGCAAGUCUGAUCCAGCCAUGCCGCGUGAAGGAUUAAGGUCCUCUGGAUUGUAAACUUCUUUUAUAAGGGACGAAAAAAGGCUUUUCUAAGUCGUCUGACGGUACCUUAUGAAUAAGCACCGGCUAACUCCGUGCCAGCCGCCGCCGUAACAC